rnacentral:rRNA from 1 species
ACGUAGGGGGCGAGCGUUGUCCGGAAUGAUUGGGCGUAAAGGGCGCGUAGGCGGCCUGCUAAGUCUGGAGUGAAAGUCCUGCUUUCAAGGUGGGAAUUGCUUUGGAUACUGGUGGGCUGGAGUGCAGGAGAGGAAAGCGGAAUUACCGGUGUAGCGGUGAAAUGCGUAGAGAUCGGUAGGAACACCAGUGGCGAAGGCGGCUUUCUGGACUGAAACUGACGCUGAGGCGCGAAAGCGUGGGGAGCAAACAG